ensembl:lncRNA
GUCAGCAGCUGGGUCCCCUGGCAUUUGGGGUCUGCAGGGGUGGAUAGGUUCUGUCACUACCCCCAGCCACAGAGCCCAGACCACAUCCAUCCACUGGCUUCCAUGGGGCCUGGGACUGGGCUGGGCCCUGGUGGCCACUGGGAGACAGUGUUUGAGGACACAGAAGCCCCUUGGAUGGGUGCGGUAGCCGCCGGGCCUUCAGUGUGCUCUCUUAAGCGCUUUCUUCCCGUCCUCUAGAACGAGCUCACUUAGCCUGCCUCCCUUCCAGACUUGAGCACAGUGUGUAGAGCAACCACCGUCUCCCGAGAGGUGUUGGAGAAGACAGGACCACAGAAUGUGACCUAUGAAGGCUGAUAAACUCAAAAAAGGCAAGAAGCAGCUGCGCAGCACUGGAGAGGUGGUGCCUUGCACAGGAAGAGACAGGUGGGCUGGGAGAGAAGCUGUUUGCCCACGGUCUGCAAACUUGGAGAACUGCAGCCCGGACAGCUUCAUCUUUCAGGAUCUGAAAUAGCUCAACUGGAAUUCCAUCACCUCCACUAGCUUUGUUCAUAGUGAUGCCUUCUAAGGCCCACUUGACUUCACAUUCCAGGAUGUCUGGUUCUAGGGAAAAGAGACUAGUAUGAACUGAACUCAACUUUGACUUUACAGAAGUAACUGAGUGUUUUCAAAGGAGAAUGAAGGACUAUGCAGGACGGUGGACAGAGCUCAGUAGAGUCAGCCAGUUAGAUGUGCAAGAUGUUUACAAGGACAUGAAGAUUCUUCCAGACAGCACAUAACCCAGGCACCUGUAAUUCUUGUCACCUCACCUGGCAUUUUCUCUAAAAGUUAAGAGAACAAAUUUUAGUGCCUGGCAGACUUGAAUUCACGUCCAGACUCCUUCUUUAGUAACUGUGAUGUUCCUAAGCCUCAGUUUCCUUAUCUGGGAAAUGGGCUAAUAACAAGGGUUGCUUAUGAGGACCAAAUGAGAAGACACAGGGAAAGUGCUUGGUGGAGCGUCUGGUGGAGUUACAAGCCUAAGCAACCCGUCAGGAUGUUCAUUUCUGCACUGCAAGACCUCGUGCACAUUCACUGGUCAAGGAAGGUCUGUCUGGGGAACUGACCUAAAGCACGAGGGACAGGAGGAGACUCACCGUGCCCUUAACUACCGCCACACUUAAGGCAGCCGUGCUUUACGACAGCCACUGAGACAUGGAACUGGAGGUGCAGCACACUAUGAAAGGGAAACUUCAAGACCCAGGGAUUGAACCCACAUCUCCUGCAUUAGCAGGCAAAUUCUUUACUGCUGAACUACCUGGGAAGCCCACUAAAUGUUACCCUGUUUUAAUUAUAAGAUGAAGGAUAAGAUGCCUGAUCUAUCUUCUUAAAACAUCUAUAUACCAGGGUUCAAAUCCUGGGUCCCAGAAGGAGAGAGCAGACUGCAGGGAUGUAUUAAGACAAUGUAUCUUCCAACGUCUUUUACGUGCUUUCAGCUUCCUGAACUGAAACCUGGACGUGCUUGAGGUGAAGACUGUUGCAGAUUGAAUUCCUAGAGAGAAGAUGGUUGGGCCAAAGAUUAUGAAUGUUUUUCAGGUUCAAGAGUGCUAUGGUUAAACGUCCCUCCUGUCAGUGAUCAUAAUACAACACUUUAAAAAAGUCCUCC